UCCAUGUGUAGCGGUGAAAUGCGUAGAUAUGUGGAAGAACACCAGUGGCGAAAGCGGCUUGCUAGAUCGUAACUGACGUUGAGGCUCGAAAGUAUGGGUAGCAAACGGGAUUAGAUACCCCGGUAGUCCAUACCGUAAACGAUGGGUGCUAGUUGUUAAGAGGUUUCCGCCUCCUAGUGACGUAGCAAACGCAUUAAGCACCCCGCCUGAGGAGUACGGCCGCAAGGCUAAAACUUAAAGGAAUUGACGGGGACCCGCACAAGCGGUGGAGCAUGUGGUUUAAUUCGAAGAUACGCGAAAAACCUUACCAGGUCUUGACAUACCAAUGAUCGCUUUUGUAAUGAAAGCUUUUCUUCGGAACAUUGGAUACAGGUGGUGCAUGGUCGUCGUCAGCUCGUGUCGUGAGAUGUUGGGUUAAGUCCCGCAACGAGCGCAACCCUUGUUAUUAGUUGCCAGCAUUUAGUUGGGCACUCUAAUGAGACUGCCGGUGAUAAACCGGAGGAAGGUGGGGACGACGUCAGAUCAUCAUGCCCCUUAUGACCUGGGCAACACACGUGCUACAAUGGGAAGUACAACGAGUCGCAAACCGGCGACGGUAAGCUAAUCUCUUAAAACUUCUCUCAGUUCGGACUGGAGUCUGCAACUCGACUCCACGAAGGCGGAAUCGCUAGUAAUCGCGAAUCAGCAUGUCGCGGUGAAUACGUUCCCGGGUCUUGUACACACCGCCCGUCAAAUCAUGGGAGUCGGAAGUACCCAAAGUCGCUUGGCUAACUUUUAGAGGCCGGUGCCUAAGGUAAAAUCGAUGACUGGGAUUAAGUCGUAACAAGGUAGCCGUAGGAGAACCUGCGGCUGGAUCACCUCCUUUCUAAGGA
rnacentral:rRNA from 1 species